GUAGAGCUAAUCCAGAUGGAAACUGGAAUAUGCUAGACUGGGUGUGCAGAGGACUGAUGAAGCCACAAUGGCGAAACUUUCUCAAAUAUACCUAGAAGUCACAUAUUGAGUGUCCUGGUCGCCACAGUGACGAAUUUCCCAGAAAAAAAAUAUCAACACUACAACUUCAGUCAUCGGGAGAAGAAACCCAGAAGUAAACUACACGUGUGAUGAAGACAAAGGUGAAAAGACACUAUACAAGGGAAACUUUUAUCGGGUGAAUGUUUCACUCUUGUGUAGAGCUCUAGGAAGUCCCAUUGCAAGUUUGUUCUGCAACCUCUUUCACUAUUCUCAGCAGUGGUCAGUUUGGAUUCGGCUUGACACAAUGUUGGACACGAAGGACGAGGGAUGUGAAGCAGUCAAGGUCAUAUGUUUGAGAGCUGACUGGAAAGAGAAGAGCCCUCUUCUACGAAUAAAUCCCAGAGAAUGGUGUGAAAAGCACAAAACGUCCAGUGAGUGGCAGUUUUGUAGGUGAAAACUCUUAAAUAACGAGAGGUCAGAGGAGAAUGGCCAGACUGGUUCAAGCUGACAAGAAAGUAACACUAACUCAACCACACGUUACGAGUGGUAUGCAGAAGAGCAUCUCUGAAUGCACAACACGUCGAACCUUGAAGAGGAUGAGCUACAGCAGUAGAAGACCACACCGGGUUCCACGCCUGUCAGCUAAGAACAAGAAACUGAGGCUACAAUGGGCAGUCUCGCCGAAACUAGACAGCUGAAGAUUGGGAAAAGUCCACCUGGUCUGAUGAAUCGCAAUUCCUGUUGCGACAUGCAGAUGUUCAUCAGAAUUUGGUGUAAGCCUUCGGGAUAUGGUGAACGGGAGAUUUACAGCAUGAAUGUGCAGCCGACAAAUCUGCAGCGACUACAUGAUGCUGUUGUGAAAACAUGGACCAGGAUCUAUUUAAAGAAUGUCUCCAGCACUUGUUGAAUCCAUUCCAUGAAGAUUUCAGGCUGUUUGGAGGCAAAGAGAAGACCUACCCAGUACUAGAAUGGUGUACUUAAUAAAAUGGUCUGUGUGCGUGUGUUAAUAAUUAAGUAUAUAUUUUAUGCCAAUUUACUUUACGUAUGAAGCUUUCAUUGUACGUUAAGUUCUAUGGAAGUAAUUGAUCUGUAUAAAUUGCCAUUUUUCGUUAUUUUUUUUCUUUUUACCUUAAAACUCUGAACUACAGGUUUAUAGAUUUUUUAAAGGUUUCAGUAUUACUUAAAAACCACACUAAAUGCGCUACUUGACCUAAUGGUUAAGAAAACUAAAAGACAAAUAUUAAAUAUAGAUAAUUUUAUCAUAGGACUUUUCUUUACCUGAUCUUCAGUGAAACCGUUUUACUGUGAGGAAUAAUUGAUCAAACGAAUAAGUCUACGGUGCUAAUUGCUAAUUUUUGGAAGAUAAU